rnacentral:sRNA from 1 species
CUUCUCACUCAAAGAAGUUUCUCUUCUUCAUGUAUUCUCUCAUUUCCUUCAACCACCACGUCCUUAGUCAUAUGAUUCUCUAUUCUUUAGCUACCUCUUCCCCACCUUCCCUUGACGAAAAUUCUUGCAUAAUUCAUAAUUAGAAGAAUUUCCUCCCAAGGUACUCGUGCUAACCCUUUUGAUCACAUACUUUCUUUUGAUCACAUACGUAUUUAUUUGACCCAUUUGAAUGUUCUACAUCCAUCAUGAUUUUUUUUGUUUUACGGUAUGCAAUCUAAAAUCAUGUGUUCUCCAUCCAUUCGCUACUGAUUUAAUCAUUAUCUGAGUUUUUCAACAAAAAGAACACAAUUUAUAAACAUAGACAACCAUGAUUAGUUUCGGAAGUCAAAAUAAAAAGCAUGUUAAUCAAUUGUCUUUUAUCUCGUAUCCCC